CGCACAUUGCGCCCUUCGGUAUUCCGUUGGGCAUGCCUGUUCGAGCGUCAUUUAAACCUUCAAGCUCAGCUUGGUGUUGGGUGCUUGUCCUCCCCCGCGGCGGACUCACCUCAAAUGCAUUGGCGGCCGGUAUGUUGGCUUCGAGCGCAGUAGAAACGCGCCUGGCGUCUUGACAUACGGGUCCCCCACAAGACCUUUCUUAAGCUUGACCUCGGAUCAGGUAGGGAUACCCGCUGAACUUAA
rnacentral:misc_RNA from 1 species